rnacentral:rRNA from 1 species
AGAGUUUGAUCCUGGCUCAGAUUGAACGCUGGCGGCAUGCCUUACACAUGCAAGUCGAACGGCAGCACGGGGCAACCUGGUGGCGAGUGGCGAACGGGUGAGUAAUAUAUCGGAAUGUACCCUAGAGUGGGGGAUAACGUAGCGAAAGUUACGCUAAUACCGCAUACGAUCUAAGGAUGAAAGUGGGGGACCGCAAGGCCUCAUGCUCAUGGAGCAGCCGAUAUCUGAUUAGCUAGUUGGUAGGGUAAAAGCCUACCAAGGCGACGAUCAGUAGCUGGUUUGAGAGAACGACCAGCCACACUGGAACUGAGACACGGUCCAGACUCCUACGGGAGGCAGCAGUGGGGAAUUUUGGACAAUGGGCGCAAGCCUGAUCCAGCCAUUCCGCGUGAGUGAAGAAGGCCUUCGGGUUGUAAAGCUCUUUCGCAAGGGAAGAAAACUUACAUUCUAAUAAAGUGUGAGGCUGACGGUACCUUGAUAAGAAGCACCGGCUAACUACGUGCCAGCAGCCGCGGUAAUACGUAGGGUGCAAGCGUUAAUCGGAAUUACUGGGCGUAAAGCGUGCGCAGGCGGUUAUAUAAGACAGAUGUGAAAUCCCCGGGCUCAACCUGGGAACUGCAUUUGUGACUGUAUAGCUAGAGUACGGUAGAGGGGGAUGGAAUUCCGCGUGUAGCAGUGAAAUGCGUAGAGAUGUGGAGGAAUACCAGUGGCGAAGGCGGCCACCUGGACAGUAACUGACGCUGAGGCGCGAAAGUGUGGGUAGCAAACAGGAUUAGAUACCCUGGUAGUCC